rnacentral:rRNA from 1 species
UACAGGGGGGGCAAGCGUUGUUCGGAAUUACUGGGCGUAAAGGGCUCGUAGGCGGCCAACUAAGUCGGACGUGAAAUCCCUCGGCUUAACCGGGGAACUGCGUCCGAUACUGGAUGGCUUGAGUUUGGGAGAGGGAUGCGGAAUUCCAGGUGUAGCGGUGAAAUGCGUAGAUAUCUGGAGGAACACCGGUGGCGAAGGCGGCAUCCUGGACCAACACUGACGCUGAUGCGCGAAAGCCAGGGGAGCAAACGGG